rnacentral:rRNA from 1 species
CCCUUAGAUGUUCUGGGCUACACGCGUGCUACACUGAUUACUUCAACAAGUGUUUUAACUGGAGAGUUCGCGUAAUCCUGAAAUGUUAUCGUGAUGGGAGUAGAGUAUUGUAUUUGUUAAUCUUUAACGAGGAAUUCCUAGUAAGUGUAGGUUUAUAAGUUGUUCUGAUUACGUCCCUGCCCUUUGUACACACCGCCCGUCGCUCCUACCGAUUGAUUGAUCCGGUGAAUUACAUAGAAUUUUGCGUUUUACAUGACGGAAGAUGAAGUGUUUUAAACCUUAUCAUUUAGAGGAAGGAGAAGUCGUAACA